rnacentral:rRNA from 1 species
CCUUGCUUAGCCACACCCCCAAAGGGGCCCGAAGGGGUUCCGCAUUGAUAGACAUUAAGCUAUGAGUGAAAGCUCGACUUAGUUAGGGCCAAGAGAGCCGGUAAAACUCGUGCCAGCCACCGCGGUUAUACGAGAGGCUCAAGUUGAUGUCCGCCGGCGUAAAGAGUGAUUACAGGAGUGUGUAUAACUAAAGCCGAAGACCUCCUGGGCUGUUUUACGCAUCUGGGGGCUAUUAAGCCCUUUAACGAAGGUAUCUUUAAAAGAUUACAUCCUCGAGUUCACGAUAGCUAAGGCACAAACUGGGAUUAGAUACCCCACUAUGCUUACGCUUAAACCUUGAUAAUAUGAUACAGAUAUUAUCCGCCAGGGGACUACAAGCGCUAGCUUAAAACCCAAAGGACUUGGCGACACCUUAGAUCCCCCUAGAGGAGCCCGUUCUAUAACCGAUGAACCUCGUUUAACCUCACCAUCCCUUUGUAAACCCAGCCUAUAUACCGCCGUCGUCAGCUUACCUUGUGAGGGAUUAGUAGUAAGCUUAAUGGGUAGAGCCCAGAACGUCAGGUCGAGGUGUAGCUAAUGGGGUGGGAAGAAAAUGGGCUACAUUUUCUGGUUCAGAAUACUACGGAUAAUGCUUUGAAACAGGCAUUGUGAAGGUGGAUUAAGCAGUAAAGAGUGAAGUAGAGUGUCCUGUUGAAGCUGGCUUUAAGGCACGCACACACCGCCCGUCA